CUGGUUCUCUAGGGAGCAUGUGCACGCCUUGUCAUCUUUAUAUCUCCACCUGUGCACUUUUUGUAGGCCUUUCAGGUCUAUGUUGCUUCAUUUACCCCAAUGUAUGUCAAUAGAAUGUUGUGCCUAUUUAAUAUAUACAACUUUCAGCAACGGAUCUCUUGGCUCUCGCAUCGAUGAAGAACGCAGCGAAAUGCGAUAAGUAAUGUGAAUUGCAGAAUUCAGUGAAUCAUCGAAUCUUUGAACGCACCUUGCGCUCCUUGGUAUUCCGAGGAGCAUGCCUGUUUGAGUGUCAUUAAUAUAUCAAUCAACCUUCUCUUUUUGAGUGGUUUGGAUGUGGGGGUUUGCUGGCCUUGUAAAGGGUUCAGCUCCCCUGAAAUGCAUUAGCAGAACAACCCUGUUCAUUGGUGUGAUAACUAUCUACGCUAUUGAAUGUAAGGGGCAGUUCAGCU
rnacentral:rRNA from 1 species